CAAUUUUUUUUAUACCAUUUUUAACAGCUAAAUAUUCUUGUUUAUUAAUAUGAUAAUUUUGGUCUGCAUUUUUAAAAGUACCUAACAUAUAUUUAUAUAAUUCUUCUCUAGUAUUCUUCUGGCCUACCUUUUACUAUUGCAUUCCAAUAUUGAUCUGAGACAUCCGUUUCUAAUAUCAUGAAGUCUUCUUCUUGAGGUAGUUUUAGCUUUUCUAAAUUUUUCUUUUUUAUUUUUACUAAUUUUACUUGUUUUAUGUCUUCUUCACUAAAUUCCCAUUUAUAAUCUUUUUUCAAUUUUUUCUGCAAUGGAUUUCUUAAUUCUGCCAGUUUGGGUAUGAAAGACUCAGCAUAAUUUAGGCAUCCUAAAAUCUUUGUAACUAUUUCUUAUUUUCUAAUUUGUCUGGAAAUUGGUCUAUUUUUUCUAGUACAUGAGGUUGCAAUUAUGUACUUCCUUUAUCUAUCUGUAUUCCUAAGAAAUCUAUCUCCUGUUUUUCUAACUCCAUUUUCUUUUCACUUAGCACUAUCCCAUGGUCUUUUAAUUCUUCACUUACUGCUUGUAGAUGGAACCUAUGUUCUUUUAUUUUACUAAAUACUAGGAUGUCAUCCACAUGUACUAGACAGUUCUUUCUAAUUUCUUAAAAAUUUCAUCCAUCCUUCUUUGAAAUAUUUGUGGUGCAUUUUUCAAUCCAAAAGGCAUGACCAUCCAUUCAUACUGACCUUGUAGGCCAUUGAACGCAGUAUAAGGAAUACCAGCAUUUUCCAUCUUUAUUUGGCCAAUAUGCUGAUUUGCAAUCAAAUUUACUAAACCAAUCAGCUCCUUGAAUGCUAUUAAGUAAUACUUCCUUAUUAGGAAUAAAAUACCCGUCAAAUUUUGUAUUAUCGUUUAGCAUUUUAUAAUUUAUUACCAUUCUUGCUUUCCCUCUUUUAAUUUCUGCAUGAUUUCUAACUAGAAAAGUUGAACUGUGGACUCUUACUCGGUUUUAUUAACUUUUUAUCUAGUAAUUCUUUUAAUUGUAUUUCAACUUCAUUCUAUCUUGUGGUGUAUGCAGCAUAGGUUUUGCUCUAAUUAUUUUUGUUUCAUCUAACAUUUUUAGUUCACAUUUUACUUUAUCUUUUUCCUGUAAUUCUAAAGGAUUUUCACUAAAAUUUUCUUUUAGGCUAUUCCUUAUUUCUUCUAAAUCUGGUAUUUUUUGUUUUAUUGUUUUAACAUUAUGAUAAUAAUUAUUUAUCUUAUCUAUCCAAUCUAUUUCUGUUCUUCACUUUUUCUAAGGAUAUCAGGUGUUGGCGAAAUGCCAAGGGUAAAGGGUAAACUACUAGGGCUAAGGCUGUGAGAAUGUUCAUGCCUAGUCACACGUACCCUUAACCUGAUGUCCAAGUUCACUAGACCCUCUUCCAGGUUAACGAGAUUUCCACUUCUUUCCUAAGUAUGCAUAGAAUAUUUAAAAAGAGAAACCAAUUGAGAAUUACAUUCACUUUAGAGGAUUGGUCUAAAUCCAAGUGGCUAUGGAUUCUAGAGGGAUGAGGGCACGUGAUAUUCUUCUUUUGUCUAAGGCUUUUCAGUAUUUCUACCCUCUGUCAAAGUGUUGUGCAUGUUGAUAGUGACAUGAAGCCUGCUAUGGGCUUUAUAUAUGAUGCCUAAGAUGGAGCUAAGAGAGAGAGAGCUCUGAGUCUUUUGGCAAUGAUGAGAACAACUGUGGCCCAAUAUGGGAGAUUAUAGACAGAAAAUGUAGUAUGCAGCUUCAUCGACCAUCGCUCGCAACUGGGUAAAGUAUAUCGCUGUGUGUACAAAUCUGGGGUGGUUGGUUUCAUCUUGAAAUUUAUUUUGCUCAAAUCUCCAGACGUUCAGAAAGUUGCCCUUUAACACGUUUAGUUUGUUGUGCCCGCGCUGUAUUUAUUUCUACUUUUCUGACCUGUGAAUGUUACCUGUUUAACAGGCAUGUAAAUGAGGCAUGGAAAAUGAUCUUUGAUGACGAUAAAAGCAAGAAGGUUUUUAGACUACCCCUGUCAAUGAGCAAGGGUACUCAAGACAAAAACUUUUAAGGUUAAUUUAAUACGACGCUGUCGCUUUUCUCA